GACGAACGCUGGCGGCGUGCUUAACACAUGCAAGUCGAACGGAAAGGCCCUUCUCUUUUGGGGUGCUCUAGUGGCGAACGGGUGAGUAACACGUGAGUAACCUGCCCUUGACUUUUGUAUAACUUCAGGGAACUGAGGCGAAUACCGUAUAGGAGCUCCUGCUGCAUUGUGAUGGUUGGACAGUUUCGGCUGUUGGUGAUGGACUCGCGGCUUAUCAGCUUUUUGGUGAGGUAGUUGCUUACCAAGGCUUUGCAGGGUAGCCGGCGUGAGAGGGUGACCGGCCACAUGGGGACAGAGAUACGGCCCAGAGUACUACGGGAGGCAGCAGUGGGGAAUAUAGCACGAUGGGCGGACGCCUGAUGAAGCAACGCCGCGUGCGGGAUGAGGGCCUUUGGGUUGUAAGACGCUGUCGCGUGUGAUGAAGCGUGAGUGAGGGUAAUGGGUAAAGAAGCACCGGCUCAAUACGUG
rnacentral:rRNA from 1 species